AGAUUGGUGGGUGACUGUGCAAAUGUUCCCUACUGACUCCUUGUGUAUCCCUCCUGAAUGUGGGUUCUGGGUAGAAGACCACCUCUGAUAGAAAAGGGCCAUUUCUUCAGUCAAGGGUAUAUGAGUAACUGUACUCCCCUGCUAGAACCUCCAAACAAGUUCUCAAGUGAGAUUGGCGAGGAGCUAUGCUUUGACACUGAGUACCAUAAUAUGUGUAACAUUUAGCUUAGAAAUAUUAUCU
rnacentral:snRNA from 1 species